rnacentral:rRNA from 1 species
GUGGGGAAUAUUGGGCAAUGGGCGAAAGCCUGACCCAGCAACGCCGCGUGAAGGAAGAAGGUCUUCGGAUCGUAAACUUCUAUCCUUGGUGAAGAUAAUGACGGUAGCCGAGAAGGAAGCCCCGGCUAACUACGUGCCAGCAGCCGCGGUCAUACGUAGGGGGCAAGCGUUGUCCGGAAUGAUUGGGCGUAAAGGGCGCGUAGGCGGCCUGGUAAGUCUGGAGUGAAAGUCCUGCUUUUAAGGUGGGAAUUGCUUUGGAUACUGUCGGGCUUGAGUGCAGGAGAGGUAAGUGGAAUUCCCGGUGUAGCGGUGAAAUGCGUAGAGAUCGGGAGGAACACCAGUGGCGAAGGCGACUUACUGGACUGUAACUGACGCUGAGGCGCGAAAGUGUGGGGAGCAAACAGGAUUAGAAACCCUGGUAGUCC